rnacentral:rRNA from 1 species
GCUACGGGAGGCAGCAGUGAGGAAUAUUGGUCAAUGGACGAGAGUCUGAACCAGCCAAGUAGCGUGAAGGAUGACUGCCCUAUGGGUUGUAAACUUCUUUUAUAAAGGAAUAAAACGAGGCACGUGUGCCUUUUUGCAUGUACUUUAUGAAUAAGGAUCGGCUAACUCCGUGCCAGCAGCCGCGGUAAUACGGAGGGUCCGAGUGUUAUCCGGAUUUGUUGGGUUUAAAGGGAGCGUAGAUGGGUUGUUAAGUCAGUUGUGAAAGUGUGCGGCUCAACCGUAAAAUUGCAAUUGAUACUGGCAGUCUUGAGUACAGUUGAGGUAGGCAGAAUUCGUGGUGUAGCGGUGAAAUGCUUAGAUAUCACGAAGAACCCCGAUUGCGAAGGCAGCUUACUAAACUGUGACUGACAUUGAUGCUCGAAAGUGUGGGUAUCAAACAGGAUUAGAUACCCGUGUAGUC